AUGGCAAAGAUGACAGAGAGAUAUAUGGUGCGAUCGUCAACCGUGGACCUCCAGGACCCCCAGGCAACCCUGGCCUUCCUGGGGCCCCAGGACCUCCCGGACCCCCAGGGAUUCUUUAUGUCAAUAGAGUGUAUCCUGUCCGAUCCAGGCCACAUUGCAAGCAGCCGUUCAACCAGGACCAGUCUUUAGAUUCAGAUGGUGUGC
rnacentral:lncRNA from 1 species